rnacentral:rRNA from 1 species
GAUCAUGGCUCAGGAUGAACGCUGGCGGCAUGCCUAACACAUGCAAGUCGAACGGAGCUAUGAUGGAGCUUGCUUUUUAUGGCUUAGUGGCGGACGGGUGAGUAACGCGUGAGGAAUCUGCCCUCGAGUGGGGAAUAACACCGAGAAAUCGGUGCUAAUACCGCAUAACGUCUUCGGAUCGCAUGUUCUGAAGACCAAAGGAUUUAUUCGCUUGAGGAUGAUCUCGCGUCCGAUUAGUUAGUUGGUGAGGUAACGGCUCACCAAGACCGCGAUCGGUAGCCGAACUGAGAGGUUGAUCGGCCACAUUGGGACUGAGACACGGCCCAGACUCCUACGGGAGGCAGCAGUGGGGAAUAUUGGGCAAUGGGCGAAAGCCCUGACCCAGCAAUGCCGCGUGAAGGAUGAAGGCCUUCGGGUUGUAAACUUCUUUGAUUGGGGAAGAACAAAGUGACCUACCCAAAGAACAAGUCACGGCUAACUACGUGCCAGCCGCCGC